GUGGGGAAUUGUUCGCAAUGGGCGAAAGCCUGACGACGCAACGCCGCGUGGGGGAUGAAGGUCUUCGGAUUGUAAACCCCUGUUGAUCGGGACGAACACCUUCCGGGUGAACAUCCUGGAGGGCUGACGGUACCGGUUGAGGAAGCCCCGGCUAACUCUGUGCCAGCAGCCGCGGUAAUACAGAGGGGGCGAGCGUUGUUCGGAAUUACUGGGCGUAAAGGGCGCGUAGGCGGCCGACUAAGUCAGACGUGAAAUCCCUAGGCUCAACCUGGGAACUGCGUCUGAGACUGGCUGGCUUGAGUUCGGGAGAGGGAAGUGGAAUUCCAGGUGUAGCGGUGAAAUGCGUAGAUAUCUGGAGGAACACCGGUGGCGAAGGCGGCUUCCUGGACCGACACUGACGCUGAGGCGCGAAAGCCAGGGUAGCAAACGGGAUUAGAUACCCUUGUAGUCC
rnacentral:rRNA from 1 species